CAAUAGCGUAUAUUAAAGUUGUUGCAGUUAAAAAGCUCGUAGUUGAAUUUCUGGCGGGCGCGCCGGUCUUCCAAGUGUUGUACUGGGCGCAGUCCGCCAUCCUUGUGGAGAGGGCUCGCAUUGAGUUGCGUGUCGGAUCUGCAUCAUUUACUGUGAAAAAUUAGAGUGUUUAAAGCAGGCUGUCGCUUGAAUACAUUAGCAUGGAAUAAUAAGAUAGGACUUCGGUCUAUUUUGUUGGUUGCGAACCGAGGUAAUGAUUAAUAGGGAUAGUUGGGGGUAUUCAUAUUUAAUUGUCAGAGGUGAAAUUCUUGGAUUUAUGAAAGAUGAACAACUGCGAAAGCAUUUGCCAAGGAUGUUUUCAUUAA
rnacentral:rRNA from 1 species